rnacentral:lncRNA from 1 species
UGAUUCAUAUAUUGAUUUCUGACUUCAUCAUCAAUAUUUCCUGCAUGACUCACCAACCCACACUUAGGCCUUUGAUCGUCACAUUGGCGAUCGAUCUCCAUCUUCCCACGUAUCAAGUCGCUAAUCUACACAUUGGCUGUUGGCUCAUCAUCAAAAUGAUCUUUAGAUAUCGGGCAUCGAAUCAGGUUCCAGAUUCUGACUUUGAUCCAGACAUCUACUGCUGAUCCU